CCAUCUACAGGGAGUUUUGGAUUUUUGGUUCAUGAAGGUACUUAUGCUGGUACUUGCUGGAGCGAGUGAUGUCUGUAUCUUAGAGACUAUGUAUGUAUAGUGAACCUGAUAUUUAUUUAUAUAUGUUUACAAUUCUGUUAGCAGUUCUAUACUACUAGUUGUAGUUUUGUAUGAUUACAAGUACAGAUACAGAUAUCGCUUCGUAUACAGAGACAAUUUUUUUGUAUACUGCGGGUCUGUUGGUGUGCCCGGAGAAACGUGAUAAUCCGGGGCGUG
rnacentral:lncRNA from 1 species